AUUGAACGCUGGCGGCAGGCCUAACACAUGCAAGUCGGACGGUAGCACAGAGGAGCUUGCUCCUUGGGUGACGAGUGGCGGACGGGUGAGUAAUGUCUGGGGAUCUGCCCGAUAGAGGGGGAUAACCACUGGAAACGGUGGCUAAUACCGCAUAACGUCGCAAGACCAAAGAGGGGGAACUUCGGGCCUCUCACUAUCGGAUGAACCCAGAUAGGAUUAGCUAGUAGGCGGGGUAAUGGCCCACCCAGGCGACGAUCCCUAGCUGGUCUGAGAGGAUGACCAGCCACACUGGAACUGAGACACGGUCCAGACUCCUACGGGAGGCAGCAGUGGGGAAUAUUGCACAAUGGGCGCAAGCCUGAUGCAGCCAUGCCGCGUGUAUGAAGAAGGCCUUCGGGUUGUAAAGUACUUUCAGCGGGGAGGAAGGCGAUGCGGUUAAUAACCGCGUCGAUUGACGUUACCCGCAGAAGAAGCACCGGCUAACUCCGUGCCAGCCGCCGCGGUAA
rnacentral:rRNA from 1 species